CAUGCAGUCGAGGGGCAACAGGGGUAGCAAUACCUGCUGGCGACCGGCAAACCCCCUUUAGANCACGUACAGAACCUUCCUUUAAGCGGGGGAUAGCCCUUAGAAAUGUGGAUUAAUACCCCAUAGUAAUAUUUGGUGGCAUCAUUAGAUAUUUAAAGAUUUAUCACUUAAAGAUGGCUGUGCGGCUGAUUAGGUAGUUGGUGAGGGUAACGGCCCACCAAGCCAUCGAUCAGUAACUGGUGUGAGAGCACGACCAGUCACACGGGCACUGAGACACGGGCCCGACUCCUACGGGAGGCAGCAGUAAGGAAUAUUGGUCAAUGGACGCAAGUCNGAACCAGCCAUGCCGCGUGAAGGAUGAAGGCCCUCUGGGUUGUAAACUUCUUUUAUCUGGGAAGAAAUGCUUGUUUUCUAACGAGUUUGACGGUACCAGAGGAAUAAGCACCGGCUAACUCCGUGCCAGCAGCCGCGGUAAUACGGAGGGUGCAAGCGUUAUCCGGAUUCACUGGGUUUAAAGGGUGCGUANGUGGGAAUGUAAGUCAGUGGUGAAAUCUCCGUGCUUAACAUGGAAACUGCCAUUGAUACUAUGUUUCUUGAAUUUUCUGGAGGUAAGCGGAAUAUGUCAUGUAGCGGUGAAAUGCUUAGAUAUGACAUAGAACACCAAUUUGCGAAAGGCAGCUUACUACAGGGAUAUUGACACUGAGGCACGAAAGCGUGGGGAA
rnacentral:rRNA from 1 species